rnacentral:rRNA from 1 species
GGGACACGUGGUAUCCUGUCUGAAUAUGGGGGGACCAUCCUCCAAGGCUAAAUACUCCUGACUGACCGAUAGUGAACCAGUACCGUGAGGGAAAGGCGAAAAGAACCCCGGCGAGGGGAGUGAAAAAGAACCUGAAACCGUGUACGUACAAGCAGUGGGAGCACCUUCGGGUGUGACUGCGUACCUUUUGUAUAAUGGGUCAGCGACUUAUAUUCUGUAGCAAGGUUAACCGUAUAGGGGAGCCGCAGGGAAACCGAGUCUUAACUGGGCGUUAAGUUGCAGGGUAUAGACCCGAAACCCGGUGAUCUAGCCAUGGGCAGGUUGAAGGUUGGGUAACACUAACUGGAGGACCGAACCGACUAAUGUUGAAAAAUUAGCGGAUGACUUGUGGCUGGGGGUGAAAGGCCAAUCAAACCGGGAGAUAGCUGGUUCUCCCCGAAAGCUAUUUAGGUAGCGCCUCGUGAAUUCAUCUUCGGGGGUAGAGCACUGUUUCGGCUAGGGGGUCAUCCCGACUUACCAACCCGAUGCAAACUACGAAUACCGAAGAAUGUUAUCACGGGAGACACACGGCGGGUGCUAACGUCCGUCGUGAAGAGGGAAACAACCCAGACCGCCAGCUAAGGUCCCAAAGUCAUGGUUAAGUGGGAAACGAUGUGGGAAGGCACAGACAGCCAGGAUGUUGGCUUAGAAGCAGCCAUCAUUUAAAGAAAGCGUAAUAGCUCACUGGUCGAGUCGGCCUGCGCGGAAGAUGUAACGGGGCUAAACCAUGCACCGAAGCUGCGGCAGCGACACUAUGUGUUGUUGGGUAGGGGAGCGUUCUGUAAGCCUGCGAAGGUGUGCUGUGAGGCAUGCUGGAGGUAUCAGAAGUGCGAAUGCUGACAUAAGUAACGAUAAAGCGGGUGAAAAGCCCGCUCGCCGGAAGACCAAGGGUUCCUGUCCAACGUUAAUCGGGGCAGGGUGAGUCGACCCCUAAGGCGAGGCCGAAAGGCGUAGUCGAUGGGAAACAGGUUAAUAUUCCUGUACUUGGUGUUACUGCGAAGGGGGGACGGAGAAGGCUAUGUUAGCCGGGCGACGGUUGUCCCGGUUUAAGCAUGUAGGCUGGUUGUCCAGGCAAAUCCGGAUAAUCAAGGCUGAGGUGUGAUGACGAGGCACUACGGUGCUGAAGUAACAAAUGCCCUGCUUCCAGGAAAAGCCUCUAAGCAUCAGGUAACAUCAAAUCGUACCCCAAACCGACACAGGUGGUCAGGUAGAGAAUACCAAGGCGCUUGAGAGAACUCGGGUGAAGGAACUAGGCAAAAUGGUGCCGUAACUUCGGGAGAAGGCACGCUGGUGUGUAGGUGAAGUCCCUGCGGAUGGAGCUGAGACCAGUCGAAGAUACCAGCUGGCUGCAACUGUUUAUUAAAAACACAGCACUGUGCAAACACGAAAGUGGACGUAUACGGUGUGACGCCUGCCCGGUGCCGGAAGGUUAAUUGAUGGGGUUAUCCGUAAGGAGAAGCUCUUGAUCGAAGCCCCGGUAAACGGCGGCCGUAACUAUAACGGUCCUAAGGUAGCGAAAUUCCUUGUCGGGUAAGUUCCGACCUGCACGAAUGGCGUAAUGAUGGCCAGGCUGUCUCCACCCGAGACUCAGUGAAAUUGAACUCGCUGUGAAGAUGCAGUGUACCCGCGGCAAGACGGAAAGACCCCGUGAACCUUUACUAUAGCUUGACACUGAACAUUGAGCCUUGAUGUGUAGGAUAGGUGGGAGGCUUUGAAGCGUGGACGCCAGUCUGCGUGGAGCCAACCUUGAAAUACCACCCUUUAAUGUUUGAUGUUCUAACGUUGGCCCCUUACCGGGGUUGCGGACAGUGUCUGGUGGGUAGUUUGACUGGGGCGGUCUCCUCCCAAAGCGUAACGGAGGAGCACGAAGGUUAGCUAAUCCUGGUCGGACAUCAGGAGGUUAGUGCAAUGGCAUAAGCUAGCUUGACUGCGAGCGUGACGGCGCGAGCAGGUGCGAAAGCAGGUCAUAGUGAUCCGGUGGUUCUGAAUGGAAGGGCCAUCGCUCAACGGAUAAAAGGUACUCCGGGGAUAACAGGCUGAUACCGCCCAAGAGUUCAUAUCGACGGCGGUGUUUGGCACCUCGAUGUCGGCUCAUCACAUCCUGGGGCUGAAGUAGGUCCCAAGGGUAUGGCUGUUCGCCAUUUAAAGUGGUACGCGAGCUGGGUUUAGAACGUCGUGAGACAGUUCGGUCCCUAUCUGCCG